rnacentral:rRNA from 1 species
UACGUAGGGCGCAAGCGUUAUCCGGAAUUAUUGGGCGUAAAGAGCUCGUAGGCGGUUUGUCGCGUCUGCCGUGAAAGUCCGGGGCUCAACUCCGGAUCUGCGGUGGGUACGGGCAGACUAGAGUGAUGUAGGGGAGACUGGAAUUCCUGGUGUAGCGGUGAAAUGCGCAGAUAUCAGGAAGAACACCCGUGGCGAAGGCGGUUCUCUGGGACGGUACUGACGCUGAGACGCGAAAGCGUGGGGAGCAAACAGG